AAAAUUUUCCUAAACAGCAGUGUCUGUGUUUUCAGAGUUCCAGCUGUGAUCUUUAGGAGAAGAUCUGAACUUCAACAUGAGCUUUUCUGGGGAACCACACUCAGAGAAAAGCCAGAGUCUGAAUCAGUUAAAGGCAUCGGAAUCUCCUGUUCUCAGCCAUGUGUCCAUGAAGAGUGACCAUUCUAUGACGCCUUCCAUAGAUUUCAAAGAUGGAGAUGAUUUUCCUGCUUUAGGUCUGAAUCAGUUAAAGGCACCGGAAUCUCCUGUUCUCAGCCAUGUGUCCAUGAAGAGUGACUAUUCUAUGACGCUUUCCAUAGGUUUCAAAGAUGGAGAUGAUUUCCCUGCUUUAGGGUAAGAAUUAUGGAAGAAAUGCAACUUCUGCAUCACUAUUUACUUUGAGUAUACUAGAAAUGUUAUAUAA
rnacentral:lncRNA from 1 species